AAAUAGUAACACAAUGAGCAGAGUACGUAUAAGAAUGAGUAAAU
rnacentral:guide_RNA from 1 species